rnacentral:rRNA from 1 species
UACGAAGGGUGCAAGCGUUAUCCGGAUUCAUUGGGUUUAAAGGGUGCGUAGGUGGGGCGAUAAGUCAGUGGUGAAAUCCUGCGGCUUAACCGUAGAAUUGCCAUUGAUACUGUCGUUCUUGAGUACGCUUGACGUGGGCGGAAUGUGCCGUGUAGCGGUGAAAUGCUUAGAUAUGGCACAGAACACCGAUAGUGAAGACAGCUCACGAAGGCGAAACUGACACUGAGGCACGAAAGCGUGGGGAUCGAACAGGAUUAGAUACCCUGGUAGUCCACGCCGUAAACGAUGAUCACUCGUGAUUGGCGAUAUACGGUCAGUCACCUAGCGAAAGCGUUAAGUGAUCCACCUGGGGAGUACGAUCGCAAGAUUGAA